rnacentral:sRNA from 1 species
AUGCGUCCUGGUCGGAUGCGGA